rnacentral:rRNA from 1 species
AUUGAUUUUAUGCUUGCAUAAAUGAUUUUUGGAUUCGGAGCGAGUGGCGAACUGGUGAGUAACACGUGGGUAACCUGCCCCGAAGCGGGGGAUAACAUUUGGAAACAAGUGCUAAUACCGCAUAAUUAGUUGGAACCGCAUGGUUCCAACUUGAAAGAUGGCUCUGCUAUCACUUUGGGAUGGACCCGCGCCGUAUCAGUUAGUUGGUGAGAUAAAAGCCACCAAGACGAUGAUACGUAGCCGACCUGAGAGGGUAAUCGGCCACAUUGGGACUGAGACACGGCCCAGACUCCUACGGGAGGCAGCAGUAGGGAAUCUUCCACAAUGGACGAAAGUCUGAUGGAGCAACGCCGCGUGAGUGAUGAAGGUUUUCGGAUCGUAAAACUCUGUUGUUAAAGAAGAACAAGUGUUAGAGUAACUGUUAACACUUUGACGGUAUUUAACCAGAAAGCCACGGCUAACUACGUGCCAGCAGCCGCGGUAAUACGUAGGUGGCAAGCGUUGUCCGGAUUUAUUGGGCGUAAAGCGAGCGCAGGCGGUUUUGUAAGUCUGCUGUGAAAGCCCUCAGCUCAACUGAGGAAGUGCAGUGGAAACUACAAAACUUGAGUACAGAAGAGGAAAGUGGAACUCCAUGUGUAGCGGUGAAAUGCGUAGAUAUAUGGAAGAACACCAGUGGCGAAGGCGGCUUUCUGGUCUGUUACUGACGCUGAGGCUCGAAAGCAUGGGUAGCGAACAGGAUUAGAUACCCUGGUAGUCCAUGCCGUAAACGAUGAAUACUAGGUGUUGGAGGGUUUCCGCCCUUCAGUGCCGCAGCUAACGCAUUAAGUAUUCCGCCUGGGGAGUACGACCGCAAGGUUGAAACUCAAAGGAAUUGACGGGGGCCCGCACAAGUGGUGGAGCAUGUGGUUUAAUUCGAUGCUACGCGAAGAACCUUACCAGCUCUUGACAUCUUCUGCCAACCCAAGAGAUUGGGCGUUCCCUUCGGGGACAGAAUGACAGGUGGUGCAUGGUUGUCGUCAGCUCGUGUCGUGAGAUGUUGGGUUAAGUCCCGCAACGAGCGCAACCCUUAUUAUUAGUUGCCAGCAUUUAGUUGGGCACUCUAGUGAGACUGCCGGUGAUAAA